rnacentral:rRNA from 1 species
AUGCGGGAGGGGCAGGACGAGGUGGCCGACGAGUUCCGGGGCGUCACCAUCUGGUGGUCCGCCCUCAAGGAGGACGACUACGACAUGCGGAGGUGCUGCCGCCUCACCUUCCAUCAGAGGCACAGGAAGCUCAUCGUCGACGAGUACCUCCCGCACGUGCGACGGUGCGGGCGCGCCGCCAUGUCCGGCACCCGCCGCCGCCGCCUCUACACCAACAAGACCAACCUCAGCUACUCUGCUAGCAGGAAAGACGUGUGGAGCUACAUCGACUUUCACCAUCCGACAACGUUCGAAACCCUCGCCAUGCACCCCGACAAGAAGCAGAUGAUCAUCGACGACCUCAACGACUUCCGGAGCAGCGAGGACUACUACCUCCGCAUCGGCAAGGCGUGGAAGCGCGGCUACCUCCUCUACGGCCCACCGGGAACGGGCAAGUCCACCAUGAUCGCUGCCAUGGCCAACUACCUCAACUACGACGUCUACGACAUCGAGCUCACCACACUAAAAUCCAAUAAUGACCUACGAAAGCUCUUCAUCGAGACGACGGGCAAGUCGAUCAUCGUCAUCGAGGACAUCGACUGCUCCCUCAACCUAACCGGCAGCCGUGCCGCCAUGGCCCAGCCAAAGCGAGCGGACGGGGCGCCCAAGAAGGGCAGCAUAGUGACGCUGUCCGGACUGCUCAACUUCAUCGACGGGAUCUGGUCGGCACACAGUGGCGAGCGGAUAUCGUGUUCACCACCAACCACCUGGACAAGCUCGAUGCCGCGCUAA